GAUGUAAACAGAAAUAACAUUAAAGGUCACACAAGUUUUAAUAAAGGUUACUAUGUUAAAAAAUAAGGAUAUUAUGUUAAAGUUACGGUCACUAUAUUCCAAAUAACAUUAAUUCUGCAUGUAUAUAAAUCUCAGGUCCACGCAAGAAUUUCUGUUACACAAAACAAUCACUAGUAGAAAAAAGCAAAUGGGCGGCCACAAAUAGAAAGCGGUUAAUGAAAUCCGCUUCCCAAAAACUCACUUCAGCUUAAAAAAUGAUAAAGACACUAAUGGGCAGCGGUUUUCGGUUCAAACCGCUGGCCAUAACAGACAAAGGGAAAUAAAAAAAACCCUGGCAUUCACUCCCCCUCUCCCCACCCUCCUUGCACUCCCUCUGUCUCUUGACUCGACCGCCGCCUCCCACCGCUGCUGGCCCACUCUUCUCUCUCCUCUUCUUCAUGGCGUCCAGAUCAACCAUCUACCCCAUUAUUAUAAUCACAUUCGAGGUUAGGGUUCUCUUCUUAUUUAGGGGUUUAGGUUUUGGGUUAGGGUUUUAGUGAAUAGGGUAAUGGUGGUGGUGGUUGAGGAGGAGAGGUGGUGGCUGCAACCACAUCGUCAAUGGCGGAACCUACGGCGGCGAUAAACUCGAAUGAGUUGAUAAAGAUUGUAAUUGCCAUGGCUCUUCUACGAUCUAAGCUUCUCUCUCAACCUCAUUCUUCUCUCCUCUUCUGCUUCUCGUACCUUCCAUUGGAAGCGAAAGGUAAACGCUCACAAUUUUCUCUCCUCCACUCUGAAUUUCUGAUUGACGACUUUAUUCUGGAAUUUGGGCGAAAAAUCGUAAGCAGGAAAUUCAACGAAUCUCAGAUGAGCUCAAACGUCUUGAAGGCUAGCAAUUUCAAUUUUCUCUUGAAUUCGUAUAUUAGUGAUUUAUUUUUUUGUUAAAUCUAAAAUUUGUGCUUUUUUUUUUUGGAUUUUUGUUAGUGUUUUUGUAAUUGGAUGAUUUAGGUCGUGAUUAUAUUCUGAAAGUAUGUCCUGCAAGUGUUAUUUCUUCAAUAAUUUGCAAAUUGUAAGCCCUUAUGAAGGCAUACUUAAUUGCAGCUUUUUAUUGAUUUAUACUAGGUUAGGUCCCGUGCCAUGUACGGUAAUUUUAAAUAGUUAUUCUUAAAUUAAAACUAAAUUUAAUUAUAAAAAAAAUUGUUUAAAAUAUUAUAAUGAAUUUAUAAUGAAAGAGCCUGUUAGCCAGAUAGGAAUUUUAAUAUACGCAUUUGACAAUAUCUAUAUAUUUUUGUAUAUUUCACCAACAAAUUGGUUUCAUUUUUUUUAACCAAAUGAAUUUCUUAAAACUAUAUACUAAGUAUUCAACUCGUAAAUAGAUUUCUAUUUUAAUUUUUUUAGAAAGUAAAUUGGUGCUGUAAUAAACGUAGUACAUUACAUAAACGUAGUACAUUACACUCAGUAUGUCACAUGUUAAAAAUCUGGUUUUUUUUUCUUAAAUUUAUACUCCGUAGUUGUUAAUAUUUUUUUAUAGAAGGUUAAAUAUCAAAUCUUUUAUUUUAAAUAAUUAAUAUUCUAAUUACUUUCUUGAAGCUUCUAAUAUACUGUAUUAUUUUAUAAAUAUAUACAAAAAAAAUAUAUGUAAUUAUUGAAGUACAUGACACUGUGUUUGGCAAAAAUUAUGUUGAAGUUUGAUUUUUUUUUUUCUUUUACUUAAGUUUAUAUAGUUGUUAAGGAUACAUCAAAUCUUUUAUUUAUGCAUAAGUUUGUUAUACUUUAUUUUUGUUUAAAAUUUGUUUCCUAAAUAAAUUUUUUUUUUCUUUUUUUUUAAAAAAAAAAAGACUUAGGGAUCGGACACACUAGAAAAUGACACCUGUCAUUGCUGGUGUGUCUAUGAAAUUAUAUUUUUUUCUAUUUUUUUUUUUUGCAUAAUAUUUUACGUAAUAAUUUAGAAUAAGAUAUUAGAAUAUUCUUGUUUAUGGUAUCAAUAUAUAUUUGGAAGGAUACACUAAAGCUUUUCUAAUUUUUUUUUUUAAGGAAAAUCUUUUACAGUAUUGUGUAAUAUUUCUUUCCAAUAUAGAUAUUAAAUAAUAAAAAUAGAUGUUACAAAGGGUGGUUACAUAUGGAGGAUACACUCGUGCACCUAUAUAGACAAAGGGUGGCAUAUUUUGAUAUUCAUGUUACAAAUAAAUUAUUGAUUUGAAUAAUUGUUUGAUUUUCUUAACUUCGUGGUUUUAUUAUUAUCUACAGUAAGUCAUAGAUUAGUAUGGAUUUUUUAAGAUAGCGAAUAAUCGAAUAUAUAAAGAUACUUAGUGGAGAAAAUGGGAAGCACGUAACGUUAUUUAGUUGCAAUUAAAUAAAAUAGUUUCUAUUUGGAAUUAUUACCAUUUCAAAUGCUAUAUAUUGCUUCAAAAUCACAAGAUAAGAUAUUAGAAUAUUCAUGUUUAUGGUAUUAAUAUAUAAUUGGAAGGAUAUACUAAAUGUUUUCUAAUCUUUGAUUUAUGGGUAAUAUUUCUUUCCUAUAUAGAUAUUCAAUAAUAAUAAAAAAAAAACUAAGGGACACACCAGGAGAUGACAUGUGUCAUUGCUGGUGUGUCUGCUAAUUUGGAGUUAUGCUACUGUUUUAAAUUUUUGAUGCUCUAUAUUAGUACGAUCGUACCUACAUGCUCAUGAAUGGAUAGAAAAGACGUUAUGCUUUUAUUCAAUAUUUGUUGUCUUAGUUUAUUAAAUUUCUUAGUCUCUUAGAGAAUCUUGGUGGAUUUGGUUUCAAAAUUCACUGUCACGACCUUUUAAGGAAAUGUAUUGAAUACUUACUUUUUUUAUUUUGGCUUGGUAGCUGAAGAAGUCCUAUUUUCUUAUUAUUUUGUGUUUUUUAUUUUCUUUUUCUUAGGGAAUGUACUAAUUAGUGAUGUUGAUUUGCUGCCAGGUUCCUUACGGUUCGCCGUCUAUGUUUUUGGACUCUGCUAUUUAGUUUGUUGUUAAUGGAGGCAUGCUAAUGUGAACAGCCACAGAUAUGGCAAUAUUGUGUUGUGGGGGUAAUGCAGAGGUUUGCUAUUCAAAAGCAGAUUAUAUCAGGAGUAGAGUAUUGUCAUAGGAAACAUGGUUGUCCAUAGAGACUUAAAGCCUGAAAAUCUUCCAUUAGAUUUGCAUCAAAAUGUUUGUGAAGAUAACCAGAUUUUGGUUUGACCAACAUUAUGAGAGAUGGCCAUUUUCUGAAGACCGGCUAUGGAUGCCCAUAUUAUGCGGUAAUGCGAGAGGGGUGAAACUUUUCCUACAAUGGGCCAUGAUGCAAAGAGUUGCAAUGUUGUCGCAAAAUCGUUAUCAAUGGCAGAGGCUGUACGCCUGUACAUUCGUAUUGCACUUGGAAAGGCAUGUGCUUUUUUUAUUGAUAGUAUGCUCAUAUGCUCAUGUACUCCUGAAUUCUGAUUGGAUAGGAGGAGUUGGAUGUUCAGGAGUUUGUUAGUGGCAUGAAACUUGGACACCCAUUCCAUUAAGACUUUAUUGCCUGCAUUUUAUAGUGUUAAAUGAUCUAAGUUUGUGAUAAAGUAUAAUUGGUGUAAUGAAAUCAUUGCAACUACAUUAAAUGAAGUGAGCAAAUGUAAGGGUAGG